GAACUUCGGAAUGUAUCGCCUAAUUAAUGUCCACACCGGUCUUCCAGAGUUGUCCCUACUCACAGGAGCAGAAAUCGAGGUUCAGAGACGAGAAACCGCCGUAGAAGUACAAAGCUGUGAGCCCUAUUUCUAGAGACAGCUGCUGCUGACCCUGUAACCCAAAGGACAAAAUAGCUGGCUAAACUCAUUCUUGGUACUGGUGCCAGAAGGUGAGCAGCCUCAUUUGUCAUAGGCCUGUAGCAGUGGGUCGCAGUCAUGGACUGAAAACAUACACCAAAAUAAAUGUUUACUCCC
rnacentral:lncRNA from 1 species